CUAAAAGUAUAUUGAGGAAGGGUGUAGAUUUUUUAGGCUUACGACAGGCGGACGAACUUCAGCGUCCCAGAACAAGACAAACACAGAGAGGCAGGGGUCAGAGAAGACCACGACGCCAAUAAUUAAUGACUUAAGGAUAAUCAAUUUGUCCUCAGUCACAAUAACGGACAUACAAUCCCAAACUCUUUCUAAAGGCUUAUCCUUUGUGCCCACACCUCCCUUUAACAAAUUUAUGUGGACAAAGGAUUUGAAUCUAUUUGCCCGUAAAUUGGCUUUACACAAAUAUCAUACACAUAAAAAAGAAUUACGAGCAUCCAGUCUGGGGUUGACAAUUAAGGACAUGGAUUGUCUGGAGACUCUGAUUGAACUCCUUGACUCCAACAAUUCCAAGGAUAUUAACAUUCCAAUUACCCAACUUGCACCUAAGAGCCGCUUCACACCACAUUUAAAAGACUAUAAGAAUAUUGAAGUCUUCCUUGAUAUGGUAUGUGGAGAAAUUGAAAAAGUAGAACUAGGGACUCUGAACAUAGAACCCAUUGGGAAUCUCACUAGAAUAGAAAAAUUGGCACUGAAGCAACUGAAGGAGAAUGAUCAAUUGGUUAUUAAACCAUCAGACAAGGGGGGCAACAUAGUCCUUAUGGAUCACUCUAAAUAUACACAGAUGGUAAAAAACCUGUUAGAUGAUCGAGAAACCUACCAGGUAUUAAAUCAUGAUCCAACUAUGCAAUAUCUUGUUGAGAUUAAGGCUAUGUUAAGUCAAGCCCUAAUGGAAAAUCUUAUUACCAAAAACGAAUUUGAGUUUAUGCUGGUAAAACAACCAAUACUCUCAACCUUCUAUAGUUUACCUAAAG